rnacentral:rRNA from 1 species
AGACUAACUCAUGCAUGUCUAAGUAUAAGUUUUAUACGGCGAAACUGCGGAUGGCUCAUUGAAACAGUUAUAGUUUACUUGAUAAUCAAAUUUACAUGGAUACCCGUGGUAAUUCUAGAGCUAAUACAUGCUGUUAUGCCCGACUUACGAAGGGCGGUAUUUAUUAGAUAACAACCAAUAUUCUUCGUGUCUAUUGAGGUGAUUCAUAAUAACCGAACGAAUCGCAUGGCUAUGCCGGCGAUAGACCAUUCAAGUUUCUGACCUAUCAGCUAUCGUCGGUAGGGCAUUGGCCUACCGUGGCAAUGACGGGUAACGGAGAAUUAGGGUUCGAUUCCGGAGAGGGAGCCUGAGAAACGGCUACCACAUCUAAGGAAGGCAGCAGGCGCGCAAAUUACCCAAUCCUGACGCAGGGAGGUAGUGACAAGAAAUAACAAUACAGGGCAUACAUGUCUUGUAAUUGGAAUGAGUAAACUUUAAAUCACUUUACGAGUAUCAAUUGGAGGGCAAGUCUGGU